AGUGAACGCUGGCGGUAGGCCUAACACAUGCAAGUCGAACGGCAGCACAGUAAGAGCUUGCUCUUACGGGUGGCGAGUGGCAGACGGGUGAGGAAUACAUCGGAAUCUACUUUUUCGUGGGGGAUAACGUAGGGAAACUUACGCUAAUACCGCAUACGACCUACGGGUGAAAGCAGGGGAUCUUCGGACCUUGCGCGAUUGAAUGAGCCGAUGUCGGAUUAGCUAGUUGGCGGGGUAAAGGCCCACCAAGGCGACGAUCCGUAGCUGGUCUGAGAGGAUGAUCAGCCACACUGGAACUGAGACACGGUCCAGACUCCUACGGGAGGCAGCAGUGGGGAAUAUUGGACAAUGGGCGCAAGCCUGAUCCAGCCAUACCGCGUGGGUGAAGAAGGCCUUCGGGUUGUAAAGCCCUUUUGUUGGGAAAGAAAAGCAGCAGGUUAAUACCCCGCUGUUCUGGCGGUACCCAAAGAAUAAGCACCGGCUAACUUCGUG
rnacentral:rRNA from 1 species